CCUACGGGGAGCAGCAGUGGGGGAUAUUGCACAAUGGGGGGAACCCUGAUGCAGCGACGCCGCGUGGGUGAAGAAGCGCCUCGGCGCGUAAAGCCCUGUCAGCAGGGAAGAAAAUGACGGUACCUGAAGAAGAAGCCCCGGCUAACUACGUGCCAGCAGCCGCGGUAAUACGUAGGGGGCAAGGGUUAUCCGGAUUUACUGGGUGGAAAGGGGGGGCAGACGGCGAUGCAAGACAGGAGUGAAAGCCCGGGGCCCAACCCCGGGACGGCUCUUGGAACUGCGUGGCUGGAGUGCAGGAGGGGCAGGCGGAAUUCCUGGUGUAGCGGUGAAAUGCGUAGAUAUCAGGAGGAACACCGGUGGCGAAGGCGGCCUGCUGGACUGCAACUGACGUUGAGGCCCGAAAGCGUGGGGAGCAAACAGGAUUAGAUACCCGGGUAGUC
rnacentral:rRNA from 1 species